UGCGGUUAUAUCACGUAACAACAGUUUUCUUCUGAUCACCGAAGUUAAGCAACGUUGAGUCUGGUCAAUACCUAGAUGGGUAACCGCUUGGAAUACCAGGUGCUGUAAG